rnacentral:rRNA from 1 species
CCUACGGGCGGCAGCAGUGAGGAAUAUUGGUCAAUGGUCGGGAGACUGAACCAGCCAAGCCGCGUGAGGGAUGAAGGUACAGAGUAUCGUAAACCUCUUUUGUCAGGGAACAAAGGCGGGGACGUGUCCCCGGAUGAGUGUACCUGAAGAAAAAGCAUCGGCUAACUCCGUGCCAGCAGCCGCGGUAAUACGGGGGAUGCGAGCGUUGACCGGUUUUAGUGGGUUUAAAGGGUGCGCAGGCGGUCUGUUAAGUCAGCGGUCAAACCCCGGGGCCCAACCCCGGCCCGCCGUUGAAACUGGCAGUCUCGAGUUGGAGAGAAGUAUGCGGAAUGCGCGGUGUAGCGGUGACAUGCAUAGAUAUCGCGCAGAACUCCGAUUGCGAAGGCAGCAUGCCGGCUCCACACUGACGCUGAGGCACGAAAGCGUGGGUAUCGAACAGGAUUAGAUACCCCUGUAGUC